rnacentral:misc_RNA from 1 species
AUGAAUAACCCUUGGGGGAUGCGCUGGCUUUGCAAGUGCGCUCCUUCAAUUAUUCAAUCCAAACACCUGUGCACCUUUGUAAUACUGAAGUCCCUGCUAGUGAAGGGUUCUGAUGGACCCCAUUAUUAGUACACUUUUGUAUUAUUAAACCAUAUACCCUAUGAUAAUGUGUAUUGUAGAAUGAAAUCGUAUUAAACUUAAUA